UCUGGCUCUUCUUUCAAGCCAGCUGGUAACACAGGCACAGACAUGACAAAGUGCACAGAGCCAGGACCACCUUGGUGCCAACAGUUAGUUUUGUGACAAGCUUCUCAAUCUUGAAGUCGCUAGCACAGCUGAGGCCUAAGAUUCAUGCCUGUUUUACGUGUCCUUGCGUCUUAUCUGACUAUUUCAGAGCCUUGAGCAGUGUGACUUCAUGAAAAUGAAGAAAAUGUCAGAAUCAAAGGUGGGCUCUGACGGCCUACAUGGAAGGAGGAGGACUGAAUGGCUGGUGCUGUCCGAUGUCCUGGCCACGGAUGUGGAAAAUCUCUUUCCUGUAGCUUGGGAUGCAGGUAUUCUGUGCUGGAACAGAGUACGCGACGCAUGGCUUUUCGCCUUCACAAAACGGGAGGGAGGCCUGUACCCAUUCCUGUAGGCCUCCCUUCCUGCAUUUUGUGUUGCCGCUGAAACCAGUUUUAUCCCGACUGCAGCCUCCGUCCAGGCCGUGGGUGGGAGAAGCACUAGGCUGAGAGACCUGACCUGUGACUCUGGCUCUCUGUUCGCUGUGGGACAUUAGCGAGUCAGUCAGAAAAGUGUUCCUGUCCGUAGCAUAUGAGGGGUGGGCUGGAUGGUCUCUGAGGUCUCUUUAGCUCCUAAUCCCCUUUAUUAGUUUUAUUUUGUAUGAGGGAGGUAAAAGAUGGAAGAAGUCCUGAGGCGUACGAGGAGUGGGUGACGGCAGCUGUAGCCCCUGGUGCUGGUCCCUACAUCUCAGCCAGUGGUUCCUGAGUCGGGCAAGUCUGCUUAGGGUGGAGAGAGGCUGGGCUGGAUUUGGAGGGUUGAGGAUUUUCUCAUUAGUAUGAAGGACUGGGAAGGGAACCUUCAGGCCUCGACAGUCGAUUACUACAGUAAAAGGACAGCCACGGUCACUCCUCUGUAGACACACUUAGGACAGAAUCACGAAGAAAAACCAGUACUGGCCCUGCUGUGUCUUGAUCGAGUCGGGGGUUGAUGUUCCAUAGCCUCAAGGCUCACUCUCCGGAUGUUGAGAAAACGGAUAUAGAUACUAAAAGCAGGCGCUCCUUAGUUGGUUCUUGAAGUUACAGGAAGGAUGGGGUGAAUUAAGAUGUUAUUAGCCACGUUGCUAAGCAGCCAGAGAGGUGUCAGAAUCAGAAAGGGGCAGGUCAGUGUGGAAACUCGGACGGCAGAAGUCUCUGAUGUAAACUCCACCGUGUGGACCCCAGCGGUGACAGCAGAGACACUCAGGUCAAGCCGACCCCGGGUCCACGGCGCGGUGGACGCCUGUCAUGGAGAUGGAUGUGGCUGAAUGCAGAGCCCGCCGCCGCCGGAUAUUUGACCCCGUUACUCCCUUUGUUCUGAUUCCUGGCCCACUAAGCGAUUUUCAGAGGAUUUGGUUUCCCGCGCGGCUCGUCUAUAGGGACAGAAUGUGCCGUCGGGACUAACACUUGUAACUACUAAAAUCCAUAGUUAAGUUUCUUACCCUAAAUUCAUAAACUGGCAUUCUGACUGUAGACAUCUUGCCGACUUUAUUAUAAAUCCGUAUCUUGUCAGCUGUGAGACGUUGGCAAGAACACAUUUCUGGGCUUACCAGGUUGAGUGCCAGACCUGCGAUCUCAGGUCAUUUUACCCCUUGGUAGCCAUUAGAAACAACUGCGACACAUUUAUAUAUUUUUUAACAGUGCCAGUGGUUUAGUUAGCCAACUUACCGUAACCCCCGGUGGCUAGGAGAGUGCUGACCUUGGGAAGAGGAGGCCUUUCACUUGAGGGCAGGGCUGGGAGCAAGGGGGCCUUCAUAACGAGGGAGGGUGGGAAAUGCAGGCUGACGAGCUGUGGGCGUGGAGGCUUGGAAAAACCUUGGGAGGAACGAAUUCAGAGUGAGUUUGAAGGAACAUUGGACGGGUUUGAAGCUUGUAUUGAAUUGUUACAUAGUGAUGCUUAAUUUUAAAAAUACUACAGAUAUUUGCUUCCUAUUUGUUAUUUUUUGUAUGGGGAGGGAGCCUCGCCAAA